rnacentral:rRNA from 1 species
UACGGAGGGGGCUAGCGUUGUUCGGAAUUACUGGGCGUAAAGCGCGCGUAGGCGGAUAGUUAAGUCGGGGGUGAAAUCCCGGGGCUCAACCCCGGAACUGCCUUCGAUACUGGCUGUCUAGAGGUCGAGAGAGGUGGGUGGAAUGGCGAGUGUAGAGGUGAAAUUCGUAGAUAUUCGCCGGAACACCAGUGGCGAAGGCGGCCCACUGGCUCGAUACUGACGCUGAGGUGCGAAAGCGUGGGGAGCAAACAGG